AACGAACGCUGGCGGCAGGCCUAACACAUGCAAGUCGAGCGCAUCAGGGGCAACUCUGGUGAGCGGCGCACGGGUGAGUAACACGUGAGUAAUCUGCCUUGAUGUCAGGGAUAACCGUCCGAAAGGAUGGCUAAUACCUGAUAAGACCACAGCCCUGAGGGGUGGUGGGAAAAGCGGGGGAUCGCAAGACCUCGCGCACCAAGAUGAGCUCGCGGCCCAUUAGGUAGUUGGAGAGGUAACGGCUCACCAAGCCAGAGAUGGGUAGCUGGUCUGAGAGGACGAUCAGCCACACUGGAACUGAGACACGGUCCAGACUCCUACGGGAGGCAGCAGUGGGGAAUCUUGCGCAAUGGACGAAAGUCUGACGCAGCCAUGCCGCGUGAGUGAUGAAGGCCCUCGGGUCGUAAAGCUCUGUGGAGGGGGACGAAUAAGGGCUGGCUAACGAUCCAGCUUGAUGACGGUACCUCUUUAGCAAGCACCGG
rnacentral:rRNA from 1 species